UUGCAAGAUAUCUCUACCUCGGUGUGUUUGUUUAUGCGUUUGGCUGUUUCAUUAGCCUUUAGCAUUGUUUUUUCUUCAAUUAUUUCAUUUGUUCAACAUCUCAAGAUGAUAAAUAUCAUCACCAUGCAUCCUUACUACCAACGCAACGAUACAUAAAACAAAAAACUCAUGCAACAAAUCCAUUAAUACAUACAAAUCUUUACGACCAUACACUGAUCAUAUUAUUUAUCAAAACUCAACUACCCGAGAACAAUCAGCGAUAAAGGCUUU